CAGCCGCCGCGGUAAUACGUAGGGUGCAAGCGUUGUCCGGAAUUACUGGGCGUAAAGCGCACGUAGGCGGCUUGGUAAGUUAGAGGUGAAAGCCCGGAGCUCAACUCCGGAAUUGCCUUUAAGACUGCCGAGCUAGCAGGUGAGAGAGGUAAGUGGAAUUCCGAGUGUAGAGGUGAAAUUCGUAGAUAUUCGGAAGAACACCAGUGGCGAAGGCGGCUUACUGGCUCAUACUGGACGCUGAGGUGCGAAAGCGUGGGGAGCAAACAGGAUUAGAUACCCCUGUAGUCCCUGUCUCUUAUAA
rnacentral:rRNA from 1 species